CACGUGACUUGAAUCUGCUCUGUGAUUGGACGACACAGACCGCAAUGCUAUAUGUGAUUCGAUGUUUUUUUGCCUCCUACACAGUGUUGUACCCUUGACUUUAAAAAUAUAUAUAUAACACAGUUUUUGUAAAGCGAUUUCUAAUCUUCUGAAUUACUGGUUCACACCGGUUUGUAGCUAUUCACCACUUGGAAACACGAUAAAAAGCAUGUUAAAAGUUGUAUGCUGAAAAUGAGUGGCCGUGUCAAUUCCUGGAACCGUAACCGUGGAAAGAGGGGAGUUGCAGCCUUAUAGAGGUAGAGGGAGAAAGGGGGUAAAUAGCUGACCUAAAAGGAGAGGUUACGUAACACACCAACUGCCUGUGAACUCUUGAGUAUAGCGUUUCACAGGCAGCUGCUGUUGACGACACACUGAAGAGAGACAGCAAGUCACCAACCAGUUGAUCGCGAUCUCCAAGACAUUUCUAGUCGAUCACCAAACAUUUCUGUAAAAAAAGACAACGAUAAAGCCUUGCGUUCCUUGUUUUUCAUCUCACGUGCUAGGUGCACUGGAUUCACUCUGCGCGCAAGAUAGGCAAACUAUUGCCAUUUUGAACUGCUUCAUGGGUACAAACUGCCUUCCUAGUGGGCGCAGAGAGCAAAUCAAGUGCACCGCUGGCCAAUCGGAUGAAUCAGAUGACUGUCUGCAGUAACGUAGCUGGCGUAAAAGAAAGCUACAGGAAAGUUGAUAUUGUGAGAUUUCAAAGUGUUUAAAACCACGACUAGAGAGAGACUGUCAACGAAUACAGCAAAGAGCUGCUGUUUUUAUGACGCUACAACCAACACUGCAGCAGUAAUGAAUGACUACAACCAACACUGCAGCAGUAAUGAAUGACUACAACCAACACUGCAGCUGUAAUGAAUGACUACAACCAGCACUGCAGCAGAAAUGAAUGACUACAACCAGCACUGCAGCAGAAAUGAAUGACUACAACCAGCACUGCAGCAGAAAUGAAUGACUACAACCAACACUGCAGCAGUAAUGAAUGACUACAACCAACACUGCAGCAGUAAUGAAUGACUACAACCAGCACUGCAGCAGUAAUGAAUGACUACAACCAACACUGCAGAAGUAAUGAAUGACUACAACCAACACUGCAGCAGUAAUGAAUGACUACAACUGACUACAACCAACACUGCAGCAGUAAUGAAUGACUACAACCAACACUGCAGCAGUAAUGAAUGACUACAACCAACACUGCAGCAGUAAUGAAUGACUACAACCAACACUGCAGCAGUAAUGAAUGACUACAACCAACACUGCAGCAGUAAUGAAUGACUACAACCAACACUGCAGCAGUAAUGAAUUACUACAACCAACACUGCAGCUGUAAUGAAUGACUACAACCAACACUGCAGCAGUAAUGAAUGACUACAACCAACACUGCAGCUGUAAUGAAUGACUACAACCAACACUGCAGCAGUAAUGAAUUACUACAACCAACACUGCAGCUGUAAUGAAUGACUACAACCAACACUGCAGCAGUAAUGAAUUACUACAACCAACACUGCAGCUGUAAUGAAUGACUACAACCAACACUGCAGCAGUAAUGAAUGAGUAGGAACGUGUCUCUAUGCUUGUGUUGUAAUUAUUAGCAGCUUGGGUCUUUUUUUAAUAUCCAGGAAUAUUUCACUUCCUCUGUUCAUAGGAGUAACAACAUGAAUUUGUGCACGAUGCGGUUCGACUCGAGUUUCGCCAUCAGCUGGAAGACGGUGUCCCUUUUGGGUCAGUGUCAGUGGAGGAAAGGGAGAGCGGAGGGAUGUAGAGAGGUGGACCCUCAGUCUGCUGCUCUCAGGCCUCCGCUGAGACUGACCGUCAGAUGCAGGCACCAUAAUGAAAAAAUAAAACAUUAUUAAAUGAAAUGAAAUAAUUAAAGCUAAUUAUUUAAAAAUGUAAA